rnacentral:rRNA from 13 species
UCGCCUGCCGAAGGUUCUAGCCCUGAAAAUGGAUGGCGCUUAAGCGUGUUACCCAUACCUCGCCGUCAGGGUAGAAACGAUGCCCUGACGAGUAGGCAGGCGUGGAGGUCCGUGACGAAGCCUUGGGAGUGAUCCCGGGUCGAACGGCCUCUAGUGCAGAUCUUGGUGGUAGUAGCAAAUACUCAAAUGAGAACUUUGAGGACUGAAGUGGGGAAAGGUUCCGUGUGAACAGCAGUUGGACACGGGUUAGUCGAUCCUAAGCCAUAGGGAAACUCCGUUUUAAAGUGCGCUCUCGGGCGCCGCCUGGCGAAAGGGAAACCGGUUAAUAUUCCGGUACCUCGAUGUGGAUUAUCCGCGGCAACGCAACUGAAGGUGGAGACGUCGGCGGGGGCCCCGGGAAGAGUUCUCUUUUCU